ACGGGGCGCAGCAGGCGCGAAACCUCCGCAAUGCGGGAAACCGCGACGGGGUCAGCCGGAGUGCUCGCGCAUCGCGCGGGCUGUCGGGGUGCCUAAAAAGCACCCCACAGCAAGGGCCGGGCAAGGCCGGUGGCAGCCGCCGCGGUAAUACCGGCGGCCCGAGUGGCGGCCACUUUUAUUGGGCCUAAAGGGUCCGUAGCCGGUUUGAUCAGUCUUCCGGGAAAUCUGACAGCUCAACUGUUAGGCUUCUGGGGGAUACUGUCAGACUUGGAACCGGGAGAGGUAAGAGGUACUACAGGGGUAGGAGUGAAAUCUUGUAAUCCUUGUGGGACGACCGAUGGCGAAGGCAUCUUACCAGAACGGCUUCGACAGUGAGGGACGAAAGCUGGGGGAGCAAACCGGAUUAGAUACCCGGGUAGUCCCAGCCGUAAACGAUGUGCGUUAGGUGUGUCAGUGACCACGAGUCGCUGAGGUGCCGAAGGGAAACCGUGAAACGCACCGCCUGGGAAGUACGGUCGCAAGGCUGAAACUUAAAGGAAUUGGCGGGGGAG
rnacentral:rRNA from 1 species